rnacentral:rRNA from 1 species
AUAAAGUGGCGAACGGCUGAGUAACACGUGGGCAACCUGCCCUUUGCACUGGGAUAGCCUCGGGAAACCGAGGUUAAUACCGGAUACUCCAUAUUUGUCGCAUGGCGAAUAUGGGAAAGCUCCGGCGGCAAAGGAUGGGCCCGCGGCCUGUUAGCUAGUUGGUGGGGUGUGGCCUACCAAGGCAAUGAUGGGUAGCCGGGUUGAGAGACCGACCGGCCAGAUUGGGACUGAGACACGGCCCAGACUCCUACGGGAGGCAGCAGGU